CGGGCAACCUGCCCCUCUCUCUGGGAUAACCCCGGGAAACCGGAGCUAAUACCGGAUACUCCGGCUGGAUCGCAUGGUCCGGCCGGGAAAGGUCCGCCGGAGAGGGAUGGGCCCGCGGCCUAUCAGCUUGUUGGUGGGGUCAUGGCUCACCAAGGCGACGACGGGUAGCUGGUCUGAGAGGACGACCAGCCACACUGGAACUGAGAUACGGCCCAGACCUCCGUACGGGAGGCA
rnacentral:rRNA from 1 species